rnacentral:lncRNA from 1 species
AUUUUCGACAAGAUUCCAAAGUUCAAAAUCCAUAGAAAUAAGAAAGAUCCUCAUUCGGGUCUUCCAAUAGGUGUAGUCCAUCCCAUUGAACAUGGGUGGACGUGUAAUAGAAUGGCCCUCUUGGUUUUCGGCGUAUGCCAUCUCUCUUGGGUUUUAAUCCAUUUGAGAGUUAACCCUGCUCUGAUACCAAUUGUUAGGAUCAAGAGCACUAAGAG